rnacentral:lncRNA from 1 species
CAUAAAGCAAUCAAUUAGCACCUUUGGUUGUUGGCUGAAAGUCUGGAAUCCACCCAGGGGUUUUGGCUAUUUUGAGUAAGGUUGCAAUGAACAAGUCUGGCAUGACUUUGGAAGACAGAUAUUUCUUUCCACUGGGGAUACAUCCAAGAGUGAAGCUUCUUCCCACAAAUCUCUUCAGAUCCCACAUCAGCGUGCCCAAUAGAGUACAGCCUGGUGAACUCCUCUGGUGAGUCCUGCCCUCAUCAGCAGCCAACACAACAGCCUCCAAUGGCUCUUCCCACCCUCUGCUGCAAUUGUUUAUGAGCCUCUCUCUAACUGUGGACUUCCUAGGAGCAAUAUAGAAUAUGAUUUCUCUUUAAAAUCUUUCCUCCUGCUUCCACUUAGUGUCUGACAUAUAAGAAGUGCUUAGUAAAAGUUGAUUGAAAAUGUUAAGUGUUUUCCUUUUGAAAUAACAAGAAGAAAAACAAAGAUGAGGAAUAAACUCUACACCACCCCCCCCCCC